rnacentral:rRNA from 1 species
UACAGAGGGUGCGAGCGUUAAUCGGAAUUACUGGGCGUAAAGCGCGCGUAGGCGGCUUUGCAAGUCGGGUGUGAAAUCCCCAGGCUUAACCUGGGAACUGCAUUCGAGACUGCAUUGCUAGAGUAUGGGAGAGGGAAGUGGAAUUUCCGGUGUAGCGGUGGAAUGCGCAGAUAUCAGGAGGAACACCAGUGGCGAAGGCGGUUCUCUGGGCCUUACCUGACGCUGAGGAGCGAAAGCGUGGGGAGCAAACAGG